UGUUUCACAGGAACUGAUUCCUCCCAAAGGGUGAACUAGUGUGUUUCCAUAGAUUAUCUCUGUAUGAAUGUACUUCUUAAAUGAAGGCAAGUGUUUGUCCUGUUUUGUUCCUCAGGUACAGCACGUGAUAUUAAGGGCAGGCGGUCAUCACUGGGGGAAGACAAGAAGCAGACGUACUUCUACGAGGGAGCUGCAGUGAGGACACAGCCUGGUCACUGAGGUCAGAGGAGGCACUGAAAGGUUUCCCUAAUAGUUCCUGGUGAAUCAAAGCAGAACCAUAAAGGUUGCUGGACUGCAUGAUGGCCUUACCCCUGACCAGUCAUCCUGUUAAAGGAGGAACCAGUUAGAAGCUGUUUUCAAAGUAGCUGAGCAGAUUUCAUCUCAACAGACAAAGCCGAUGGCAGAAGAUGUUUGGAGAAGAACUUCAGGCCGUGGACUGAAAAGUAGAUCAAAGCAGCUCGUGCUCCUUCUGCUUCCAUUUUAAUGGCAAGAAGAAGAAAAAGAAGAAGAAGAAGACUUCAGCGAAGUGGCGUUCAUGGUCUCAGUGGACAGUCAUGGUCACACACUGCAUGUGGUUUUAAAAGCAACAUGUCUGUUCACCACAACAAUGGAGAUGUGUAAUAUUAGUGCAGCUACAGUUUGUUCUUGAACAUCAGUUCUGUUUUCUAUUUUGACCACGUAGACCAAAAAAGUGUUGUUUUCAGAUUCUUUCUUUUAAAUCUAUAAAGCACCUGCUCAUUUUUUAUUACAAUUAGUUUCACAUAAAUGUUAGUGUUUCCUUUAUGAUCUUUUAAUGCUUACGCUACACUGUACACAUCUACAUUAGAGACAUUUCUGUUACCUAUGUAUGAGACUGGGCUGCUUGACUACAAUUUGGAAAUGGAUGCAAAAUCACACAGAUCGUGCUAUUGUUUGUUUUUUAAUAUGAUGGACUGAACACAGGAGGUAUCUGACUAAGCAAAGAUUAAUCUGAUCCCAUUUCUACCUGUCUCUACUGUUGUAACUGUAAUUGUCAGUGUAAUGAACCGCAGAUCUGUACCUUAAGUCAUCCUUGCGGGGGUUGUCGGAACUGGAUGCGCAGUCGCACUAAGGACAGAUGUGCUCAGAGGCAUGCCCCAUAACAUGUAUGGAGCAGUCUGUCGCGCGAAGAGAAUAAGUUGUACAAAGUUCAUCUUAGACAUGUGUGUCAUGCAAGCUAGCAGCACCCCAUGAGAAACGCGCUGAAGUGUUUAAGUGUUCACCGGAGUUUGCACCCUUGGCAAGCGGAAUGAGUUUUCACGGUGCUCAAUGUCCAGAGAAUCAGCCGUGUGUGGUGAGGAAAUAAAUGGCUGCACCCAUUAGAGACUCUUCUGUCGUUCUUGAUGCCAAGGGCUGCUACAGUCAGGAUAUAUAUUUAUUCCAGCUCUCACAGGGCAAAGGAAUGACUCAGACGUGUCAAAUGUUCUUUGACUUGUCAUU